UUGCUUCGUGUGCUUACCGCUUGAGUUUAAAUUUCAAACAGCUAGCAACAGGUUUGUAAAAAGCAGCUUCUUUACCUUAGGUCUUAAACCCACAACACUCUGUAUUGCUAGCUCACCAGGGUGUAUUUUGAUAAGUUCAGUUCACAAUUAUAUUGUGAAUUAAGACAAACUCAUCUGCCACUGUGGCAGCCUGCUGUAAAGUGGAAUCUCUGUUCACUUGGAUAAAGCAAUAAACUGAGGCAUAGUCUUCAAAUUCCUCCACAAGCAUUAGCUCACACAGUGCAGCCAACUCAUUAACCAUACAUGCAGAGCACCAACUAUCAAAAGAGCCAUUUCUUCUCCCUAGGAAAGUAAAGGUAGGAUUGACCUAUAGGCUUCAGGUACAAGUUUGCUUUUCAUUAACCAAGCAGGCCACCAUACAGACUAGAACAAUCCUCCUGGGCCUAUCUGUCAACUUACAAAGCAACAUUAUGCCCCACAAAUCUUGACGCCAGUGCAGUUGCCAUGUAUUCAAAUGCAGUGAAACACUGUCAACAUUCGACCAAAAAACAAAAACAAAAAAAAACCACACACAAAAAAAAAAAAACCCAUAACAAACAAAAACUGGAAUAAGGUGAAUGUUAUUGUGCACCAAACAGGCCCACAGUUCAUCAGCUCCAGCUGAUGCAACUUGAUACCCGUUUCAUCCUUCAUUUUCUACAGUUCCACGUCCUUCCUCAACUGGAACCCCCUCUCGUUCCUCCAACUGACGGACUCCAUUUUACAAAGGACUAGCAAAUAUACAAACUGAGGCAAACUUAAGUAGAGCUAGCUGACAACAGAACAACAACUUACCUGUUGUGGCAGACACAUUAAAGAGCCCAGUUCCUAACCACAACAAACUUUACCCACCCAUCUUCUUGAGUAUACUGGGUGCAAAGUGACCUGAAAGGCUAAAGUUUCAGUGACUAGAGAUCUGAAUUGCAUAGCUCCUAACCGGGAACUUAUUCCCACCGAGGAUUACUCCAAAAAUACACCAAAAAAAUUACCCAGAAGAAGAUCAGCUGCACACUUACUUAACCAGAAAGUUGCAUUUUCCAAAGAUAGCACCAUGUCAUGUCAGUCAUCUACAAGCAAAAUAAUUAAAAGCCCAAUACUACCAAUUCCAAACUCCCUCUUUCCAGAGAUCCUGAAGGAGUCCCAGCUUAUGUUAUUAUCCUUAGUUUGGAAGUCUAGGAGGCACAGAUUGUAACAAAGUAAAGUAAAUCCAGCAACCCACAACUUAGAACUACUGUACAAAACCCAUCUCAGCAGAAAAGUGAUUCAUUUUCAGUUUAUUUAUUCCCCUGCUAAAUUGCAGUUUAUUUUAAGUUAAGCAUCUCACACAUGAUUUAACAAAAACAAAACUAGACUUAAGGGGCUAAGGCCCAAACAACAACAAAAAUACCCUCUGACUGAAAAUAAAACAAGAAUACAAUGCUGAGUUUAAAGAAAAUGUCAGAACUCCUACCAAACUUCCCAUCUAAAACAAGACAGCUUAACACAGUUCAUCAAAAAGAAAAAAAAACAACUAACCAUAACAUUAACCAGACUCUGGGUACACAGGAGUAAGUUUCACACAAAAAUCACAGCAGCUGAAACAUCACAUCACAGAUAUCAAGGGAGAAAAACAUGUGGCUCUGGAUGAGUGUGGCUUUAUGCAGUCCACUGAUGACGAGGAAGUGACUUCAGCUGUGCAUUAAGUUGUGACAGCAAGGAGGCAAAAAAAAACAUGGAAGAAAAAAAAGUAGAGCCCCUAGAGGACAUGUGGACAAAAGCAUAAAGGUUUUAUUUGAUUUUAGCCAUACUGCCAUAUAG
ensembl:lncRNA